AUCAGAAUGCUACCGAUCUCUAUUACAGACCACUUAAAAAUAUGGAGAAGAAUAGCCAGAAUUACCACAACUACUGAAUCAGCGUAAUCUUAAAAGUCGGCAGUGCUAUAUUCUGGAAUGAAAAAAUACAGACUUUGGAAUGUUAUUGGAGGAAGAUAAUUGAAUAUUUGAAGGAAAGGGACUUCUGAGCAAAGAAUGCAUUGAAAAGGGAGCAAAAAUAGCCGUCUGAGUCCUGCUUGAUCAUCAGUAGAGAAGAAUCAACGUGGAUUUUCACAGGCAAGUGGAGGAGCUCAUCCAGGGUGAAGGUAAACAAUGAGUCUUGGAACGGUACAUCAAAAACUUUAUGAUACUGAAGCAUCCAUGCGUCCCUGGAAGAAAUCCCAGUUGAUGAUGGUGGAUGAUCAUCUUAAGUGA
rnacentral:lncRNA from 1 species